CACCGCGGUUAUACGAGAGGCCCGAGUUGACAAACACCGGCGUAAAAUGUGGUUAAUAUACAGUAUUACUAAAGUCAAACACCUUCAAAACUGUUAUACGCACUUGAAGGCAGGAGGCCCUACCACGAAAGUGACUUUAAAAACUAUUAUCCCACGAAAGCUAGGAGA
rnacentral:rRNA from 1 species